CUCCUGAUUUCAGUGAGGAAGGGUCUGUGAGACGGCAGCGAGAGAUGCAGAUCAUCAAUUUUCUGCAGGAUUUCUUGCAAAAGUUGGAAGACAGAGAAGCAGACAGCCAAGAAGAGGGCAGCCCUGAAGGUCAAAGUCACGUGGCAGCUGUGCACGGAACAAAUGGUGGGGGGGAGCGCCUGUCAGUCCGGAGCUUCCUUCAGUGGGUCACAGGUCAGGCACGUGUUCCACUCAUCGAAUCCAAGAGAGAGGCAUUCAAGAUAACUGUUAAUUUUGAUCAUGACUGCGACUCCCGCUAUGGGGCACAUAGCCUUUGUUACCCCAUUGUCAAUGCUUGUGCUGUUGCCAUUACAUUUCCUACACGCCACUUAGCCACCUCCCAAGAGUUUGAAAACAACCUAACUGAGGCAAUCUGUGGUGGUUACGAGUUCAGCAGACACUAAAGUAGCAUUUUAAGGUCCUUGUUACUUGUUUAAGUUACUUGGUAAGUUUGUUACCCUUUUUGCACUUUGUUUCUAUUUUCUACUACUGUGUACAAACAAGUGUACAACAAAGUUGUUCUAUUGUUAAAAAGAAUAAAUCUAAAGAUUUAACUGUG